AUGAAGGCAUGCAUGUAUGGAUGUUAAAUAUAUACAGCAUAUAAUUUCGGAUUAUUUGAAAUUUAUUAGGAUUUGUUUUUUUGACCUCAUACUCUAAUUAAUAUUGGAUUUUCAUCAAUUUGUAGAUUUUGAUAUUAAUUGGGCUGCUGGGAGGAUUAUUAAUAAAAGCAGAAAUCAAAUAUAAUAUUGUAAGACUGCCACGUAUGACAGUUUCGUUCUUGUCCAUACGAUUCUUCAGCAAUUCUUCUUCUUCUUGUUGUGUAUUCAAUUUUAUUACGACUAUCUUCCCCAUAUCUCCACAGUAGCCAAUCAAUUUCCAAGGAGAGGAAGCAUCCCCAUCUGAAUUUGAUUCAACCAAGAAGAAGCUCGACUGGCAUUAUGAAUGAAUCAUUUGAGCCUGGUUCACUUCAAGUUUACUUCAUUUUCUUAUAGUUGGAGUUUUGUUAGAAAAGACCAGCUAAAACUUGAAAAUUCAGUUCUCGAGAGACCCCAUAGUAGGGUUCCUGAAGGUUGUGUUUUGUAUUUAUGAAUUACACCAAGUUAGUUCCUGCUAUGUUAUUUGUUUUAUUCGUUUCCUAUUUCAUUUAUUAACAAGGCACAUGAGCUAAAUUGGGAGAGGGUUAUGUCUCUGUUCAUGGUCUACAAUUGGUCUUCUUUGGGAGCAGAGUUACAAGAGGGUCAUGCUACUCAUUGAUCCCUGGUGAAUCACAUAUCUUAUCCAUUGUGGGUAUCAAAAAUAGUGAUACUUUGAUAGCCAAAAGCUUAAUUACUAGGUUCUUGCUUUGAAGGAUAUAAUUUUUUUCUUUGUGGAUUAUAUAACACAAUCUCUUGUUCUUUUGCUUACUGCAUUUCAUUUGUCUUUUUAACUGAACAACAAGAUCAUGCUUGAUAAAUGAUAAGAGUUUCUACAGAUAGGAAACCUACCAAGAGAUUGACUACCUUUUGCAUCCGACUAAGGUAAGACAGCAAUGCCAAACAUUUUUGCAACUUAUAUGCAGGUUCAAUGUUAUAUAACUUUAUACUAGUUUUCUAUUUGAUCCAUACUUGGCUUUGUUAUCUCAAAUAAUAGAUUGUAUUUACCACUGUUAUCUAUUCUUCAACAAAAGACACAGUUUAAUCAUAUAGUUACACACUGUUAUCUGAGUACAAAUAAUUUUAUGCUUGGUAUUGUUGUGAGAUUAAUUUUGGGAUCCAGUUUAACUUGGUAUAUUUAUUCUGGGAAUCUGGUUUAACAUUGGGCUUGCAUAUCAUUUUUGUUUUGAUUUUUUUAAUUCUAUUUUCUAGACUCUGAUUGGGAAUUUACUGUACGUGCAUGUGUGCCUGAGUGCAUAAAUCAAAUGGAGAACACUGCAGAACACGUAUUGGAGAUCAUGCAUCUUUGCACAAGCAAAUGUCUUAGGCUUAUCUGACACUAGUAGGCAAGUAAUACUUGUCAUUUUCCUUUUUAGUUAAGUGAACAGGAUUCAAACUUUUGUAUUCUUAUCAUUUAUCUGAUUUAUCCUUGGCUUUUUUGCUAUCUCCUAAUACAGCCAAUUCUGGUUUACCAUAAUGCUUUUUAUAUGAGCAUUAAGAUAUUAGUUGACUAUGUAAUUAUUAAAAUAGGAACUAAUUACAUGACUUUAUUUGCAAGUUGUCUUUAUCAAAGAAGGGUUGCAGCCGUUGGGAGAAAGUCUUAUGUUUAAAUAUUGAUGGGUGGGGAGGAUGUCUUGAUGUUUAAAUUUUGAUGGGUGUAUGUGAUUUUCAAUGUUGUUGAAUGAUAUAUUUUAGAAUACAAUAUAAAGUACGGUCAAGAAUGUUA